rnacentral:rRNA from 1 species
CCCGCACCAAGCGGAAGGAACAUGUGGUUUAAUUUCGAUGAUACGCGAGGAACCCUUACCUGGGCUUAAAUGCAAAACGACGUACCGGGAAACUGGUACCCCUUCGGGGCGGAUUGCAAGGUGCUGCAUGGCUGUCGUCAGCUCGUGCCGUGAGGUGUCGGGUUAAGUCCCAUAACGAGCGCAACUCCUAUCGUUAGUUGCCAGCGGAUAAUGCCGGGGACUCUAACGAAACUGCCAGUGUAAACUGUGAGGAAGGUGGGGAUGACGCCAAGUCAGCACGGCCCUUAUGUCCAGGGCUACACACGUGUUACAAUGGCCGGUACAGAGGGCAGCUACCUGGUGACAGGAUGCAAAUCUCGAAAACCGGUCUCAGUUCGGAUCGAAGUCUGCAACUCGACUUCGUGAAGGUGGAUUCGCUAGUAAUCGCGCAUCAGCCACGGUGCGGUGAAUACGUUCCCGGGCCUUGUACACACCGCCCGUCAAGCCAUGGAAGCUGGGGGUACCUGAAGUC